AGUACCUCCGCAGGAGGUUCGAGCCUCGCGAAGCGAGACAACGUUGCUUCAGCAACGGCCCGCAGGGCGCGCAUCAACGAUGCGCGUAAUCCUCUCUCGCCGACCA
rnacentral:sRNA from 1 species